UGGGGGAUAUUGCACAAUGGGCGAAAGCCUGAUGCAGCGACGCCGCGUGGGGGAUGAAGGCCUUCGGGUUGUAAACUUCUUUUGCUCUGAACAAGGCAUGCUAAUGGGUGUGUUGAGUGUAGGGGUUGAUUAGCGCCGGCUAACUACGUGCCAGCAGCCGCGGUAAUACGUAGGGCGCGAGCGUUGUCCGGAAUUAUUGGGCGUAAAGGGCUUGUAGGUGGCUGGUUGCGUCUGUCGUGAAAGCUCAUGGCUUAACUGUGGGUUUGCUGUGGGUACGGGCUGGCUGGAGUGCAGUAGGGGAGGCUGGAAUUCCUGGUGUAGCGGUGGGAUGCGCAGAUAUCAGGAGGAGUACCGGUGGCGAAGGCGGGUCUCUGGGCUGUUACUGACACUGAGGAGCGAAAGCAUGGGGAGCGAAGAGG
rnacentral:rRNA from 1 species